GGAGGCGUGUCCGAGUGGCUUAAGGAAGCAGUCUUGAAAACUGUCGUGCCGAAAGGUACCGUGGGUUCAAAUCCUACCGCCUCCGCCA
rnacentral:tRNA from 15 species